UUCACAGUAACAAACAAGAACCACCGUCCCCAUCUUCACUCCCAUCACUCUUCUUUUCUUUGUUUUCACACUUCACAUUUACUCUUCUUUCUCACCUUAUAUAUAUUUACAUAGCAAAAACAACGUCAAGAUUUGCAAAAGCACAGCAACUUUAAAAAAAAAAUGUCGAGAUUUACAAUGCUAGUAGUUCUUGUUCUUCUUGGGCUAUGUCUAUGCCAUUUAUCAGUAGCAACAAUAGGAAGUACUAGUAAUAAGAAGAGUACUUACAUAGUACACGUGGCAAAAUCCCAAAUGCCAGAGAGUUUUGAAGACCAUAAACACUGGUAUGAUUCAUCACUAAAAUCAGUUUCUGAUUCAGCAGAAAUGUUGUAUGUUUACAACAACGUUGUACAUGGUUUCUCAGCAAGACUGACUAUUCAAGAAGCAGAAUCACUUGAGAGACAAUCUGGGAUUCUGUCUGUUUUGCCGGAGUUGAGAUAUGAACUUCACACGACAAGAACACCAUCUUUUCUGGGUCUUGAUCGAAGUGCUGAUUUUUUUCCAGAAUCAAAUGCUAUGAGUGAUGUGGUUGUUGGGGUUCUUGAUACUGGAGUUUGGCCAGAAAGCAAGAGUUUUGAUGAUACUGGACUUGGACCUAUUCCGGAUUCUUGGAAAGGAGAGUGUGAAUCUGGUACCAAUUUCAGUUCUUCAAAUUGCAAUAGGAAAUUGAUUGGUGCAAGGUACUUCUCGAAAGGUUAUGAGACCACAUUGGGUCCUGUUGAUGUAUCCAAAGAGUCGAAAUCUGCAAGGGACGAUGACGGACAUGGAACACACACUGCUACUACUGCAGCUGGUUCAGUUGUUCAGGGCGCUAGUCUCUUUGGGUAUGCUUCUGGAACUGCUCGUGGAAUGGCAACUCGUGCUAGAGUUGCUGUGUACAAAGUUUGCUGGAUUGGUGGUUGUUUUAGCUCUGAUAUAUUAGCAGCUAUGGACAAAGCAAUUGAUGAUAAUGUGAAUGUGCUUUCUUUAUCACUUGGUGGUGGCAAUUCAGAUUAUUAUAGAGACAGUGUCGCAAUUGGAGCAUUUGCUGCUAUGGAAAAAGGGAUUCUAGUCUCUUGCUCUGCAGGUAACGCUGGUCCUAGUCCCUAUAGUUUGUCCAACGUAGCGCCGUGGAUAACUACUGUGGGUGCAGGAACAUUGGACCGCGAUUUUCCUGCAUAUGUAAGCCUAGGCAAUGGUAAGAAUUUCUCUGGUGUUUCACUCUACAAAGGGGAUUUGUCACUAAGUAAAAUGCUUCCCUUUGUGUACGCUGGUAAUGCUAGUAAUACUACAAAUGGAAAUCUUUGCAUGACGGGUACCUUAAUUCCUGAGAAGGUUAAAGGCAAAAUUGUUCUAUGUGACCGCGGGAUAAAUCCCAGGGUCCAAAAAGGUUCUGUGGUAAAAGAAGCCGGUGGGGUUGGUAUGGUUUUGGCUAACACUGCCGCAAACGGGGAUGAGCUGGUGGCUGAUGCCCAUUUGCUUCCAGCAACGACAGUUGGUCAGACGACAGGGGAAGCAAUCAAGAAGUACUUAACCUCGGAUCCUAAUCCAACAGCCACGAUUCUUUUCGAGGGAACUAAGGUGGGGAUCAAACCAUCACCAGUGGUUGCUGCAUUUAGCUCCAGAGGACCAAACUCAAUCACGCAGGAAAUUCUCAAACCGGACAUCAUAGCACCAGGUGUUAACAUUCUCGCAGGGUGGACAGGUGCGGUUGGACCAACAGGGUUGGCCGAGGACACAAGACGCGUUGGGUUCAACAUUAUCUCGGGCACGUCUAUGUCUUGCCCGCACGUGAGUGGUUUGGCUGCUUUGCUUAAAGGAGCGCACCCUGAUUGGAGCCCAGCGGCUAUUCGCUCGGCUCUUAUGACCACGGCUUAUACAGUGUACAAGAACGGUGGUGCGCUCCAAGAUGUCUCGACGGGAAAGCCGUCCACGCCGUUUGAUCAUGGUGCAGGACAUGUAGACCCUGUUGCAGCACUAAACCCCGGACUUGUUUACGACUUGAGGGCUGAUGAUUAUCUGAAUUUCCUCUGUGCCUUGAACUACACAUCAAUCCAGAUUAAUAGCAUUGCUAGAAGAAACUACAACUGUGAAACAAGUAAGAAAUACAGUGUCACUGAUUUGAAUUACCCUUCAUUUGCUGUUGUUUUUCUAGAACAAAUGACUGCANAUUUCCAGAACAAAUGACUGCAGGCAGUGGAAGCAGUUCUAGCUCCGUUAAAUAUACGCGAACGCUUACUAAUGUUGGACCAGCAGGAACAUACAAAGUUAGUACUGUUUUUUCACCAAGCAACUCAGUGAAAGUCUCGGUCGAGCCUGAAACGUUGGUUUUUACUCGUGCGAACGAGCAGAAGUCAUAUACCGUGACUUUCACUGCUCCUUCAAUGCCAUCAACUACGAAUGUGUAUGGUAGAAUUGAGUGGUCAGAUGGCAAGCAUGUAGUUGGUAGUCCUGUGGCCAUUAGUUGGACAUGAAAAGGUAAUUGAUAGCUCGAGUUUCGAAUGUAGCUUCUGUUUAGUUAUUUUAGUUGUAGUUAUCUAAGUUAAGUUCUAAGCAAAAACUUGGAAGUUGGGUUUCAAAAGUUUGAUGGAAGACAUGGAAAACUGUAUGCCUUCAGGAAGAUGCGCAUGCCUUUUCUUGCUCAUUGUACAGUAAUGGUCCAAGAACUAGGGGUUUUUUCUUUUCUUGCAUUUACAAUCUUGCUCAAUAACUUGUAUUGUUAUGUGUUGUAACAUGUUGCUAAAGAUAAUUAAUAUGAUCUCAAAUAUUUGAGAGUAUUUCCUAUGA